rnacentral:rRNA from 1 species
AUUGAACGCUGGCGGAAUGCUUUACACAUGCAAGUCGAACGGCAGCACGGGGGCAACCCUGGUGGCGAGUGGCGAACGGGUGAGUAAUACAUCGGAACGUGCCCGGUCGUGGGGGAUAACGUAGCGAAAGUUACGCUAAUACCGCAUACGAUCUGAGGAUGAAAGCGGGGGACCUUCGGGCCUCGCGCGAUCGGAGCGGCCGAUGUCAGAUUAGGUAGUUGGUGGGGUAAAGGCCUACCAAGCCGACGAUCUGUAGCUGGUCUGAGAGGACGACCAGCCACACUGGGACUGAGACACGGCCCAGACUCCUACGGGAGGCAGCAGUGGGGAAUUUUGGACAAUGGGCGCAAGCCUGACCCAGCCAUUCCGCGUGCAGGACGAAGGCCUUCGGGUUGUAAACUGCUUUUGUAUGGAACGAAAAGGCUCUGGCUAAUACCUGGGGCUCAUGACGGUACCGUAAGAAUAAGCACCGGCUAACUACGUG